GGGCGGAGAACGGCGGGUCAGAGAGAAGGCAGCCCGGUCCCCCUCAGUGGAAGGGAGUGGCGGUGGGCGGAGGGUGUUGAGGGGACGGUGCCAGCGGCUUGCGGGAAGCCGGGCGAUGCGGGUAGAACGGUGGAGGAGAGGGCAGGGAGGCCGGGGCCUCCCGUGGAACGGAACCGGGGGGUUGGGAGGCUGGGGGCGGCCUGUGUGAAGGGGGCGGGGAGGGAAAGGCUCGCGGCCAGUAGAUGCAGGAGGGAGGAGGGCCUAGAGGGGCUCCGGGCUGGCGGCCUCUGUGAGGAAGGGGAAGGAUAUGGAACCAAGAUCCUUUAAAUCCUGAUGAACUCAUCCGUAAAGCAGAUGCCCAAAGGAUGAUAUAGAGAUGGAUUUCACCGUGUUAGGAUGGCCUCCAUCUCCUGACUUCAUGAUCUUCCCGCCUCGGCCUCCUGGGAUUACAGGUGUGAGCCACCGCAUCUGGCCAGAAGUUAAGUUUAAAAGUAGAAGACAAAGAAUUGAACAUACUGACAUUGAUUCUUCGAAGAGAAAUUUAGAACUCAUAUCUAACACCAGCCUCCAAUUGAUUGAGCCAAUUCCUUCAAAUAAAUCUCUCUCUGCAAUAUGCAUCCUAUUGGAUCUGUUUCUGUAGGGAAUUCUGAUUAAUAUACCCUUUCAAGGAACAGCUUUGGAAGAUUAAGAUAAUUGUCUGCUUCUGGAACAAAAGACAGGUCAGCUGGUGAUGCAGUUGCAGCCAGGAAUGAGUGAGCACCAGCCUGGGAACAUUUAUUCAGCGAAGGUGGUGGAGGAUGGGCCCCUGCAGGCUGGUUUCCUACGUGAGGCUGAUGCUGUCAUGGUUUCCCUGAGCUUGCUCUCACUCAAUGGAUUCUCCACACGGUCCCCACUCCCCGCGACACCUUGACUUUUGGACCAAGUCUAAACUCCAUAGUGUGGCUUAGAAGGCCCUUCACAGGAUGACUGACCCCUGUGGAACUACUCAGGAUUCUUUGUUGCAGCCAAGAAAAGCCAAUUCUUGUUGAUUAAGCAGAAAAGGAGUCUUUUUGGAAAGAUAUCAAGUAACUCAUAGAAUUGUCCAGAAGGCUAAGGAACUGGCUUGGAAAAACAACAGAAGCUCAGGGAGGAGAGAUAAAGACUUUGGGAGCAAAGAUGAGGUUCGGAGAAAGGUUUACUGUCAAGCAAGGAAUCUGAUCUGACCCAGAGAACUUCAGUUCUGGGGAUGAGGCCCUAAGAAUCCGGUCUCCGUCAGGAAAGCAGUCUGUGGGCUCUGGAGCGACCUGGGAUCUGGAGUACAGUUCUGUUGGACAGUGCUGCAAGGAUGGAGAGACUAUUAAGAUCACCUGACUACACCAUUUAAAAAAUUUUUUGAAUGAACUAUCUUUGUUUGUAAGCCCCAAAACAUGGUCUGAAGACUCAUUAGUGACCUGAUCAUACAGCUGACCUCUGAACAACAUGAGUUUGAACUGCGUGCGGGUCACUUAUAGGCAAGUGUUCAACUGCACGGGGCAGGAGCAGUUGGUGCCCAAUCUGCUAAUUGUUCAAAGGUAGAGUGUAGUUUUUAAAGACAAGUGAGGUAAUUUCUUUUAAAUCUCUAGGCUACUACAAUACAGAAUGCUGGGAAAUGAAUUAAUGUUAUGCUUACGUGUGCUUUUCAAAAUUCCCCUUGUGACUAAUGGGAUGUCACUCUGCAAAAACAUUGUUAGUUUCCCAUUGAUUCCACUGGUUUGAGUGUGUUUAAUGCCGAGGAAAGUGAGAGUUCUUUCGGAAGAUGGUAGGUUUUUGUCUUUUUGAGGUGGUUCAUUUACUUUGAGAAUCAUCAUUUUGUAUUUUUAAAACCAAGUCUUAUAUGCAAAAUUAUUGAACUGUGAGAAGAAAAG
rnacentral:lncRNA from 1 species